UAACGUUUAUCAAAUUUAUCCAACUUUACCAUCCGCCAUCGUCUUGUGUCCACGCGAAGAAACCUCCCCCACGAUUCGUCAGUUCCAUCCCCCACAGGACCACAACUGGCGAACGCUCAACCUCCUCCAUUGCCCUUCGCCCGACUCCACCAUCCACUGUCAUGCUCCACCAACACAGCUUCAUCGCCGUCCUCCAUCCUCACGACGCCGCCUCCACUGGCAUCCUCCCAACGGAUGCUGCUGCCGCCAAAAACUGAUGCCUCCUCUAAGGCCAUUGCCUACUCCAAGGCUACUAAACGAGUAAUCCUCCAAUCCCAUCUGGUGAUCCCGCAGUCCAUCUGCCCGUCGAUCUGGGCCCCGCGCGCCCUAGGAGGCCUCCCAGCCGGGUGCGGAGAUGCUCUCACUGCAAGCAAGGUGGAGCCGACCCAUGCCACCACGUGCCAUAGCCGGUGGUUCUCAGCCGAUGGUAGCGGAAAGAGGAGCAAUGAGAUUUUGAUUCUGCGAUGAGAAUAGAUGGGCCUGUUUGCCAAUUUGUUAACGGAGAUGGUAUAACUGUGACUACUUCUUCAAUUAUCAAGGCAUCGGGUAUCAUGCUGAUUGCCAAAUGCCAACAGGAGCGAGGACAAAGAGUUUGAAUGAGUUCUUUUUCAAAUCCCCUGUGAGAAGAUUCUUGUGAGGAAAUCAGUACACCUGGAUAGGCUCCAGUUUGAAUCCACUUCUCUUAGUAAUUUGACAAGAACUGUAGGUCUUAAACUAACCAGCGUAGCAUAUGUGCCUCCAAAGUUUUUAUUUAUUACUCAGUUUUUCCCUUAUGUGUGACCACCCUGAGGGAGGCGUAUAUGAGGGGAAAGAAGGUGUCAGUGCUGGCCGACCUCAACGUGCCACUCGAUGGUGACUAGAAGAUCACCGACUACACGCAUUGGUGCCCAUCAUCAAGUUCCUCCCCGAGAAGGGCGCCAUCUGGCAGAACAGGCUUCCAUAAUGGGAGCGAUUCUACCUGCUUCUGAGCAGUGAAUAAAGUCAAUACAGGUGGCGAUUUAACAUGCAUAUUAUGUUACUUUUUCCCCUGAAUUCUGCAAGUAUUUAAUGUUGUGUACAUGCCACGUCAUGCUUUUGGGAUAGCAAUGAAGUUUCAUAACUUGUUCCA